GAGAGAUGGCCGACUUGAGUGAAGUUCUGUUUACUAUAGAAGACCAACUAGAGAGAGAUCAUUUGCCAGCAGAUGAUGUUUUCAGUUGUUUGGGUAAUAUCGGACGGCCACGUAUCGUCACAGAGGCUGUUGGAAGGAACAACCAUCUCGUUUUACCAGCCACAAACAGCAGAUCCCAGACCUGGACAAAAGCAUCCGCCAACUCCUGGAUAGUCUGUGGUGCAUGGAGCGAGACAUGAUGUCCCAGAUGUGUUCAAUUAGAUUCAGGUUUGGGGAACGUGCGGGCCAGUCCAUAUGAUUAGUGCUUCCAGCCACUUGAGGUCUGUUGGAAAAAUACUGUAUUCAAUCAUUGAAACAUAUUUUGCUGAAGCCUCGUUAGCUGUGCUAUAGCCUUGAAGUUUUCUCUCUUCUGCUCUGCAAGAAAUAGGGAGUACCGGUGUGUAGCAUCCUUAUCUGAUGAGCCCAAUGCUUGUGCAGGAAAUAUUUUCCACGUUCUGUGUGACUAUGCACCUCCCAGAAUGCAAUACAUAUUAUGAGCUGAAUCCUUGUCUUCUCUUCAGUGAGAGGAAGUUGCCUUUGCUGUAAACUGCUCACUCCUUGCAAGUAAAAUCCUGAAGAAGGUCUCAACUGAUUGUGUCUGCUUUAUUUAAGAUUUACAAAGGGAACUAACAAUUUCCCUAACAAGGUCUAUUAUUGUCUUGCUUUAGUAGGGACCCAAGGCCAAGCACAUGGGCAUAUGGUCUCACAAAGGGUCUGAGGUCUCAUCUGGGUAAUGGCAGCCAGGCUGCCUCUGGCCACACAGACAUUCAUGUUCCUCCAAAGAAAUUCCACCCCACACCAUUACUGACCCACUGCCAAACUGGUCAUGCUGGAGGAUGUUGCAAGCCACAAAACGUUCUCCACGGCGUCUCCAGACACUGUCACACCGGUUACACGUGCUUAGUGUGAACCUGCUUUGAUCUGUGAGGAUCACAAGGCACCAUUGGCCAAUUUGCCACUCUUUGUGUUCUCUGGCAAAUGCCAAGCGUCCUGCACUGUGUUGGGCUGUAAGCACAACCUCCACCUGUGGUCUUCGGGCAUUUCUAAGUAAGUGCCUGUGUGUACAUGGAAUACCUUUGCCUGUAUGCCAGAGCAAAGCAGACACAUACCCCCCCCCCCCCAUUAUGAAAUAUAUUGUACAACAAUGAGCAGAUUUUACAGCAAAAUGACAAGUUUUAUCAUAAUAAUAAGAUUAUUUUG
rnacentral:lncRNA from 1 species